AAUUCCCUCCCUGCCUUUUCAUCUCCACAUUGUCUCCUGUGGGAAUAAAGAGGCUGAUUUCAAUUAAUUUUAGCUACCGCCUGGCUUUAGGAAGUCCUGCGCCUGUCAGUCCGCCUUGCUUAGUUUUUCAUUGUAAGAAGCUCACAGUUUCCUGGAGGGGAAGCCCUCUCUGUGUGCCUCGCUUUGUGUGAGCACAGUGACUUGCCGAGACGUUUCAAAAGUAUGUAUGCCUUUUGAUUUGAUUUGUUACUGGAUAACUUCAGUUGAGUUA
rnacentral:lncRNA from 1 species